rnacentral:misc_RNA from 1 species
UUUCCGUAGGUGAACCUGCGGAAGGAUCAUUAAUGAGUUGUCAUGGGGUUCGAUGCUGGCAGCCAGUGUUUGGAUGCAUGUGCUUGCCCUAACAAUCAUCUUCUUCCAAACACCUGUGCACAUUUUUGAGGGAGUCUUGAGUUGGUUGCCGCUCUUGGGUGAUUUUCUCACAUUCCCUUAAAUCAUUAUACGCUAUUAACAAUUUUGAACGUGCUCUGUGCCGCAAGGCCAUUAAUAUAAUACAACUUUUAACAACGGAUCUCUUGGCUCUC